GAUGAACGCUAGCUACAGGCUUAACACAUGCAAGUCGAGGGGCAGCACGGUGUAGCAAUACACGGGUGGCGACCGGCGCACGGGUGCGUAACGCGUAUCCAACUUUCCCGUUACUCUCGGAUAGCCUUCCGAAAGGGAGAUUAAUACGAGAUGGUGUUCAGUUUCCGCAUGUUUACUGAACUAAAGAUUCAUCGGUAACGGAUAGGGAUGCGUGACAUUAGAUAGUUGGCGGGGUAACGGCCCACCAAGUCAACGAUGUCUAGGGGUUCUGAGAGGAAGGUCCCCCACACUGGAACUGAGACACGGUCCAGACUCCUACGGGAGGCAGCAGUGAGGAAUAUUGGUCAAAUGGAGGCAACUCUGAACCAGCCAAGUAGCGUGCAGGACGACGGCCCUAUGGGUUGUAAACUGCUUUUAUGCGGGGAUAAAUGAUCCUACGUGUAGGAUUUUGCAGGUACCGCAUGAAUAAGGACCGGCUAAUUCCGUG
rnacentral:rRNA from 1 species